rnacentral:lncRNA from 1 species
GCCCCACCUUUGCAUCCCAGUCCUUGGAUAUCUCACACGCACCCUUUCACUGUUUCUUAGUAAUUUGUUUGUCUACAGACACAGACGGGAAGCGGGGACGGGGACAUGUUUUGUGCAUGGCUUGAUGCCUGGUGCACGAUGCCGCUCAGUAGUGGAUUUGCUCCACGAGCGUCUUCUGAGCACCGCCCCAAUGCCCGCCCCACGGAGGGGCCCCUGUGGUCCGCUGGGCAUGGGGUUCGCUGUCCGGUGCUCAGAGUUUGCUAAAUACCAUCAGGUCCAAGGCAAGCGAGCGGAGGAGCUGCCUCAGCAGAGGCCCUCAGUGCUCACCUAGACCUGGCAGCUGGGAUGGGACCUGCCAGGUGGUGCCCCCUGUGGCCUGGGCCAGACCUGUUCACCCAGUUAUUCCCUGUGGGGCCUGAAGGUUGUCACGCUCAUCAUCAUAUUUGCAGUUUAGGACCCUGAAUCGGCGGGUGGGCGGAUAAAGUUGGUAUUGGACCCUGGCCCAGAGCACUGCACUUCCCCAGACUCUACACCUGGUACUGCUCCUGCUCCCCAGGGACCCAGCCGCGUCCCUGUCCCUGCUGGCCCCGGCUCACCAUCGCUCAGAAUCAGCUCGACCGGCGCGCUGUCCCCGGACCAGCCGUUUUGGUUGUCAUGCAGCCGGUAGCGGCAGGUGUAGUGACCUCCAUCCCCCAGGGCCACCGCGUUCAGGUGAAAGAAGAUGCGAUCUGGGCUGGUGCUGCUCCUGGGUACCAGCAGCUCUUUCUCCCCGCGCCGUAGCUGGAAGUCCACUCCACUCAGGGGAGCCACGCAGGUGAGGGUCACCUUGUUGCCAGGGUGCAGGACCUGGGAGGACUCUCCAUGGUGCAUCAGCACAGGCGGUGGUGGUGCAGCUGCAAUGCAGGCAGCAUUACUAGGCUGCCCCA